UCCCUUUCAUUUUGCUGUUGAAGUGCAAACUGUGCUGCAACUCUAAUGGAAUCAAUAACCAAACACGCUUGGAUGUCUUCACCAGUUCUUCCUGGGAAAUGAGUAAAUUAGGUUUCAAGCUCGGGGCAUUCAGUUACUAGUAGUAUAAGCAUACUUCUUGAACCCAGUAACAAUUUACUGUACACUCCACCAGAGAGGCUGCAACUGAAAUGAAACGGAAAACAAAGACACAACUCAAGGUCAUUAUACUGCCACACUUCACAUGCAAUUUCAGAAUCUACCAAGUGACUACAUACAACCUCUGUUGACUGUAUUCCCUCAUAGAUGAACUAUCUUAACAGUAAAGAUUAACUAAUUAACCAUAGCUCGAAGGAAAUCACCUAGAGUCGUUUUACAUCGGUUACGGAAUGCCAGGUAUGUCGGCGGCGACCGCUAGUAAAGCAAGCAUAGACAGCAAGGUUAUACUCAUACAUGUUCGGUGUAAGGAGUUUAACUAUCCUAACACCACCUAAGCCAGCAGCUUUUGUACAUCCAAAUUCCAAUUUAUAAAUUUCAUCAUUUCAUAUGGAAGUCAGCAUGGUAGCCUGACAUACUGGUCACUUCACUAAAAAUGAAUGUAAACAAAAUCAUGCUCACUGGUCACUACUCAGAGAAAUAAAUCUUGACUUUUGCAGGAGAGAAAAAAAAUACACCUGAGCAAUUAACAAAUGGCUUUGCAAAUCAUAUCAGCUCCAAGAGCGAGGGCAAGCAAUCACUACUUUGUCUAUGGAUUUAGAUCUGGCAGAAGCUGCAGCAACUAUAGAAAAAAAAAACCAAGAACACAGCAGCUGAGCCGGUGUCCUUCAUACCUAGUCUGAGCAGAUCUUUCAUAGGGUAACGCUCCAACUCGCAGCCCUCGUCUGGGCCUCGGAUGAGCCCACUGCUCUGCCCCACCUCCACUCCCAAUCUUCGCUGCAGCCGGCAAGGCACGGCUCCCCCUUCGCCGCCGGAAGCGCCCACCCCAGCCCUCUCUCCAAGGCCGCCGUUCCUCCUCUGGAAGGCCCGAUCCAGCUCGAGCGAGUGGAUUGAUCUGGUGCAGAUGGGUGAGUAGGAGGAGAAGGGAAGCGGCCGCUCGACGCUAUUCCGGUCGUCGGAGGCAGAUCGCGGCGAGCUCAGCACGGGGAAGAGGGAGGAAAU
rnacentral:lncRNA from 1 species